rnacentral:lncRNA from 1 species
UGUGCCCACAGAUUGCACGUGUAGGGAGGUGAGUGCUUGUAUCCCAAAUUGGUUCUAGGUCAACUGGCCUCAAACUGAUUUGCCACAAGCUCACAAAAAGACUCGCUAUGCUUAAGGGCCAGUUCACAUAAAUUUGAGCCCCUUUUAAGUCCUUUGGCAUCUGUUCGAAUGUCCUCAUUUUUCUGGCAGUGUCACUUAAAGGAUUUUUUUUCCAGAAGCAAUUCAUUUAAGGACACGCUGAUCAAAGGUGGGAUUUGUACUAAACGCUGUUUUGUAGCCCUGGUGGGUGCCUUCUGUUUUAUCUGCUUUUGAAUACUUUCGGGACUUUUUAGCCAGUUUGCCUUUCUUGACAAAUGUUGUCCUCAGCCAUAAAUACAUUUGGUAAUGACUU